rnacentral:rRNA from 1 species
AUUCCUUUGAUUCUGGGGAAGANAGAAAGCGCGCGGCACUUUUUAAUACAUGCUAGGGGUGAAUUCGUUUAUUUUAUCCCGCACAGGUGAGUAAUACUCUGGAAUGAGCGGCCCGAAGGGGCNAUCAGCUGGAACGGUAUUAGGUAGAAGGCUCCGAUAAGGGCGGGCCUUGCCGAAGAUGCCUAGCCGAGUGGCCACAUUUCCACUGGAACACGGGGGAGACUCGUUAAGAGGCAGCAGUAGAGAAUUUUGUGCAAUGUAUGAAAGUAUGACACAGAGAUGUCGCAUUUUGGACUGUCUAAUAUACGUGCCAGCAGACGCGGUUAUACGUAAGGUCCUAGUUUUUAUUGAGAAAAAGGCGUAAAGGGUGUGUAGGUGUGCUCAUUAGGGUCAAAAGGGGGUAAGUAGAACUUUUAUGUAGCGGUAGAAUGCUUUGAUAUAAAAGGGAAUUCCAGAGGCGAAGGCGGCUUACCAAAUUAGACUGUCGCUGAGACACGAAAGUGUGGGGAGCUAACAGGAUUAGAUACCCUGGUCGUCCACACUGUAAACUAUGAAUAUUAAAAUGGUCGCUGACUAUUAAUCCCAAACUGAUUAUUAUUCCGCCUGAAGAUUACGAUUGCAAGAUUAAAACUCAAAGAAUUUGGCGGUUCACUAUUCCAAUUAGAGGAGCGUGUAGUUUAAUUCGAUAAUCCGCGAAUAACCUUACCAAAACUAGAAUAUUUAAUAUAAUAAAAAUUAUCUCGUAUAAUUCGGUGUUCAAAUAACUAUUAAAUACAGGUAUUGCAUGGCUGUCGUCAGUUUGUGUUGUGAGAUUCAUUAAACGAACUUAACCCUUAGAGGCGGCCCGUUAGGGGCCGCAUCAAAAGGAUGACGUCAAGCCCUUAUGAUCCCUAUGUUUUGGGCUAUAUAUGCGCUACGUUUUUUUAUACAAAGAGUAUUAUAUCAACCUUUAAAGUAAAAUUUUCGGACAGACUGGUGUAAAGUGGUCUUGAAGUUGGAUUUAAUAGUAAUCGAAAAGUAGAGCGUUUCGGUGAAUAUGGCUCUAGUGUUCGUACAAAUCGCCCGUCAACUCUGCCGAAUAGUAGACUCCCAAAGUGCAUCCGCCUGAAGGCGGGGCAUAACGGUUAUAAUGUGAGGUUGAGUAAGUCGUAACACAGCGAGGCCACCGGAAGGUGGCCUCGGAUUCAU